UUCACCCAGGAUCAGCCUAGAAGAGGCGGGUGGGGACACUCAGACAGUGGAGACCAGCAAGAACGCCAGAUCGUCCUCUAGUACCGAUCAGAGAGGAGGAGGAAGAGCAAAGGGGGAAGCACGGCGCAGUGCGGCAGGUAGGAGAGGAAGAAGUAGGAGAGGAAGAACUGGGCGCUGAAUCUAGCGUUCUUUCGUUCUCCACCGGCAGAACUUUCCCCACUGGCGAAAGUUUCCGCCAAGCCCAGGGCAGAUGAAGGAAUCCCAGGCUGACUGCCAACCAGGGGAGACCAACCCCCGGGCCUCUCACUUAAGCUGGCGGAAGACAUUGCUGCCAUCGGCACCUGCACAUGCUCUGUUGAAGAAAUCAGGCUUAUGAGUCUUGGGAAGGGAGGCCACAGAGUGAAGUGCCGUUGUCAUCUCAACGUGUAAAGGGUAUGUGCUAUCAACAUGACUUAUCAUUAUGGGUGACCAACCACCUUGGUCACCUGAGGCCUGGUGACCUGAGUCCUGGGAGCCCCACUGUGAAGUAAUUCUUCUCUCCCCUUUCCUGGAAUUUGGAAGGAAGUCACUAUGUCCCUCUGACAUUUAAGAAUAUACAAACACA